rnacentral:rRNA from 1 species
UACGUAGGUGACAAGCGUUGUCCGGAUUUACUGGGCGUAAAGAGCGCGCAGGCGGUCGUUCAAGUCGAGUGUGAAAGCCCCCGGCUCAACUGGGGAGGGUCACUCGAUACUGAUCGACUCGAAGGCAGGAGAGGGAAGUGGAAUUCCUGGUGUAGCGGUGAAAUGCGCAGAUAUCAGGAGGAACACCGGUGGCGAAGGCGGGUCUCUGGGCCGAUACUGACGCUGAGGAGCGAAAGCGUGGGGAGCGAACAGG